GCAGCCGUGUUAGUCUGUAUUCGCAAAAAGAAAAGGAGUACUAGUGGCAUCUUAGAGGCUAACAAAUUUAUUUGAGCAUAAGCUUUCAUGAGCUACAGCUCACUUCAUCGAAUGCAUGCACAAGUUUAUUCUUUGGGAUGGUGUGACGUUAAGGCUGACUGAUAUCCUGGGUUGGUCUCAAAACUUUUUUUUUUUUUUGAUUCACCAGUGGAUUUUGUUUUUAUCAACUGUUAUCUUGCCUCUGUCUAGCACCUUAGUGGUUUUUUUUCAUAUGUUGCAAUUUGUGUGUAGAAAAAUAUUUGCUAAUGACCAGAUUUUUAAAGGUUAAAAGCAUCUAGAUGCUUUUGAAAAUCCCUCUAGUUGCCUAAAUACCCUUAAAGAUUUGGCUCUGCCUUGUAUAAAAUCCUUCUCAAAGGCUAUUUUAUACUGUAUUUUUUAUUAAAUACAGAUCUAAAACCUCAAGAUAAAUUGGCAACCAUAAGAAUGAAAAAAUUACGAGUUAUACACAUUAAAGUCAUGAAAUUAAAAAAAUAAAUACAUUUUUGGUUUCUUUUAAUUUGCCUUUUUGUUUCGGAGUCUUUAGGGUACAUCAACUUCAUACUUCUGUUACCUCUCCCAAAGAAUUUGUAUACUUAGAACAGUUGUACUUUAGUUAAUAUCAUUUUGGGUAUCCAGUAACGUGAUUUCCACCCCCCCUGCCCCCCAGUCAGUUGAGCAGGGGAACUAGUUUUAAGUGCAAUUUACUACCCCUGAUCCACAUGAUAGAAUAAUGAUUGUAAAAGUAUUCUUUUGUCUGGUGUUCUUCAGUGAAAGGGGAAACUCCAUCUUUCCCCAUCCACCAGCUCAAACCCGGAUGACUUUCUGAAAGCAUAAAACAAGAUGUUUGGUCAUCUUUAGUUUGGCCACCAAAUCCUCUUUUCCCUUGCUAAAAAUACAAAUAUGACCACAAAUGAGGGACUAAAAAGAAAACUGUCUAAAAUACUGUAGUGGAGAAAUACUAAUUAUACUGAAUCACUGCUUUAUAAACCCCACAGCUCCUAGCUUUGAUGCUGAAUCAGCUGGUCCAUUUCUUCUUCUUUCUGGUGCAUUUUACAUUUAGAUAGAACUCUUCAUUCUAGAAUGCUCUGCUCAUUUAAACUAUACACUGCUCAUUUCAUCUGCUGUUGAAGUGCAGGCAGUUUUGGAACCAGACAUGCCAGCUGUUUAACAGUGCACAAUUGAAAACACAGGAAGUAUUUGGUUAGGCAGAAUGUCAUUAGAGUUUAUUCAUAACAGCCAGGUGAACAUCUGUGCUUUUGUGAAACAUGCACUAGGAUAAUUAAUGACUGCAGUGGUCAUUCUCUGGUUUUAAUAUUUUAGCCAAAACAGAAAAAAAAUCCAACAAGUAUGGGGGCAUAGUUUCCAUGCUUACACAUGGGCAAAAGUGGCAUCUAAUGAAUUACAAAUAUCACUUUCUGUUGUACUCUACUUGUUACUUAGAAAUCUCUUAACUAUUUAGCCCAACUCAACUUGGCAAGAUCCUGCCAGCAUUUACACACAAGUAACUUUAUGCACAUGAGUAGCUCCAGAACUCGUUGGCACUAGUUUUGUGUAUACAGCUACUCACAUGCAUAAAUGUUUGCAGGUCUGAGGCCUUUGAUCAUGCGAUCUGUAGGAUCACAGCCAGAGCAGUAUGAGCAUAAACAUUAAGAAUUAAUCAUUAACACUGAAGUGACUAUGAAGUAAAUUACAUAGUAUGUAUUUUGGUUUGCAGUUAAUAAAAGCUUUGUGUCUUUAACGAUUUUUUACAGUUUUUUUUAAAUGUCUUUAUUUCUACAAAAAAUAGUGCUAUAAAAACCAUGCUAAAAGUAUAUACAAACUCGAGUUGCACCAAAAUGCACAUAUUCUGUUAAUAUUAUUGUUUGUUAUUUUAUUAUAGUUUGUUUGAGGUACUGCUCAGAUACGUUAAGCACUUUCUAAGCAUUCAACAAGGGAUAUUCACUGCCCAAAAGAGCUCUCAUGUAUGCAUGCUAGGUAAAGCAAAACAAAUUUUCCCCAGUAGACAUUGGUGUACAGUUAUGUCUUUCUGAAUAGCGCAUACGUUUUUCUACCUAAAUACAGUUAAUAUAUCUUGAACUAUCUCUUGCAAUAAAUGAUCUCUAUCACCAAAUUUCUACUGUUACUAUGUAAUCUGCUCAGGACUAAUCCAAUGUAAUGGACAGUAAUCAAGGAAUAAAACCAUUCAGCUGACAAGUCUAUCAACAGCCUAACCCUGAGAGUUAGGCAAAAAAGCACCAUCACAACUGGACUUGGCAUUGCUCUUGAAUAAAAAGGGCGUAAACUCAGCCUAGUCAAGUCAAUCAUCAAAGCUAAGUGCUAUGGAUGCUACAUACCAAGCCUGGGAAGUGAAAGACUAAAGAUUUUGCAAUUGGAAUCUGUUGAUGUGGAAGCCAGGCCAGAAGUCACCUCACUAACCAACAGAAGUAUUUGGCUCUACGAUGUGUGUGCAGCUGCAUCCACUCAUCUACAAGCAAAGCAAAACAGAGCAGACGCAUAGCAUGCAGGCUGCUAUGAGCUGGCAGUGGUCACUUUUGAAAGGUUUGCAGAAGAGUUGUGUUUGAAGGAGGAGAAAGCUGGCUUGGUAUUCAAGAGAGUGGACGAUAUUUCAACACGUGAAUGUAGUAGAAGGAAACAUAAGGGAAGAUAGGAAGGAAAGACAUGGAUACCAUUUUAUGACUAUUUGUGUGGUUCGAACUUGUAGUGCUUUACAUGCAGAAAAUACAACAGAAAAUUGCCUUUUGUGCCACAGCUCAAAAGAGCUUAAUUAAACUGUGUACUGCAAUUACUGAAUGGUGACUACCUAAUCCAGGCCUAUUCCGUAUUUUUCUGAAUAUUUGAUGUUCUUCGUUUAUCAGUUCUGAGCUCGUCAAUUCUGGUGCAUAAAUACUAUGAACUCUCUUCUCUCUCAUGUAUUCCAUUUUUAACCUCUAGUGUCAUGGAUGCAAUGGUGAAAUAAAUUAUACUGAGUAAAUAAAGUCAAAUUGCAAGAAAUUAACACCAAGGAUAGGCUCACUGAAUGUAAGAAUGCAAUGGGACAUUAUUAUAAUUCUCUAAGAAGAUACAAUUCCUUUCUGCCUCUUUAAUGCAUUCUGACAUUUACUACAGCACAAUGUCAUCCGGUUAUUUUAAAAGUAAAAUGUUAAAUUUUCUGCCAGAUGGCUUAGUGAAUACAUCAGUGUCAUAGAUUACAUUUACCAUUCAUCCACUUUUUUGUGUCUCUUGCUUUGGACAUGUAUUUCAUUAAUGCUUUACCCUCCCAUUUGUAUUGUUUCACAUGUCUUCAUUAUGCUUCAGUUAAGAAGCUAUGAAAUAUGAGUGUCAUUAAUAAAUGGCUAUAUAGAAAUUUGCUAUGACGUUGACAUAGGUCUUUGCAAAAGGUUUUUUUGUUUGUUUUUUUAAACAAGUAACCCAAAAUGAAAUGCCAAGACAUUUAAUUUGUACUGUUUGUGUUUCAGAAUAAAUGGGAGCAAAGAAAUGUGGUGUUUGUGUAGUGCCAACCAUGGGGUCUGGGUCAGGGAUCUUUGUGUUCAUAUCUGUCAUAAAGAGGGUAAAUUCUAACUGGACAACAAAGAAGUGAAGACAAUAAAGAGAAACAAUAAAAGCAAUGUGGCUAAAGGUUUGUGGGGGGAGCACAUCCUGCUCUUUUUGGCUUCAUAAGCUUUGCUGAAGUGUGUUUAUAGGAAAUACUGGAAGAAGAAGGUAGAUAUUUUUUGUUGGACCAGGUCAGGGAGUGAAUUCCAGGGUUCUGCACGAAUAUAAACAUGGGAGAAAGUCACAAAGGGAAAUGUUAGUCCUGCAGCUUCAGCAAGCAAGUGAGAGGCACGUAAGAGUCUGGCUGUAGAGAGUGCUGAAGCCAAGGUCAAGGAGCUUAAAUUUGAAGGACAAAACAUGGAGAAGCCAGUUAAGGGAUUUGAAGAGGGUCCCAACAGCCUGAACAGACUGGAGGGGGACAACCCAGAAUAAAAUGCAAAAACUUGGGUCUGAUGAUCAGUAUACAUCAUUAACAGGCAAAGCAGGGAACCAAUGUGAUUGGCAAACUUGCUUGGAAUCAGAACAAGCAAGCCUCUUUGAGCAUAUCAGUCAAGAGAAUUUCAGAUUUAAAAUUGGCAAUUUUAAAUAUAUUGUUGUUUGCCAUGCAAGUUAUUAAUAGUCAUCGUUGCAUUUUUAUUUUAAAAAAGUUAUUGGGCCAGAUUUUCAACUGGGAAGAUCAUGUAUUGAUUAGAGUUUCAUUCUUAGAAUGAUCAUUGAAAAGUGACAAACACUGAUUUUAUGAAAGCAUGUCAUGAUUCAUUUUGGAACAUCUUUAGUGUUAUGGUAUGCCAACAAAAAAUAUUUGACAUAAUCAAGUAUUUAUAUCAAAGUGCUGUUUGCCUAGAUAAAGUCAACACAGAUUUGAGUGGAUGGUUUAAUGUAGGCACUGGUGUCAAAUAAAGAUGUAGUCUCUCUCCUCUCCUUUGGCAUGGCCUCUGAUUUUAUGAUGAGAAAAAAGUGUAAAUGGAUAUAAUGCAGGCAUCACAUGGUUUAUCAACUGUGAACUAGAAGAUUUAGAUUUUGCUGACAACAUAGCUCUUCUAAAGUGACAGCUCACCCAACAUGCAAGCAACGACUGAAAGACUGUUCACCACAGCAAAAAAAGACUGAGUUAAUAAUCAAUUAUUAAAUAUAUAUAUUAUGAGAACCCCAGCAAAU